AACGAACGCUGGCGGCAUGCCUAACACAUGCAAGUCGAACGAGACCUUCGGGUCUAGUGGCGCACGGUUGCGUAACGCGUGGGAAUCUACCCUCAGGUUCGGUACCACUCAGAGAAAUUUGAGCUCAUACCGGAUGAUGACGUACGUCCAAAGAUUUAUCGCCUGAGGAUGAGCCCGCUUAGGAUUAGUUAGUUGGUGAGGUAAAGGCUCACCAAGCCGACGAUCCUUAGCUGGUCUGAGAGGAUGAUCAGCCACACUGGGACUGAGACACGGCCCAGACUCCUACGGGAGGCAGCAGUGGGGAAUAUUAGACAAUGGGCGAAAGCCUGAUCCAGCAAUGCCGGGUGAGUGAUGAAGGCCUUAGGGUUGUAAAGCUCUUAGACCAGGGAUGAUAAUGACAGUACCGGGAGAAUAAGCUCCGGCUAACUCCGUG
rnacentral:rRNA from 1 species